AAUGAAGACGGAACAACUGCUUGCUUAGUUGCUGCUUCUUCUUUGCUUCUUUAUUUUUUCCAAUUUUAUUUAUUUUUUCACAGUUACGCUUGCCGCAUGGAUUUCCCGUAGUUGCAUGUGUUAAUCAACCGCUAUCUCCAUCGCUUGUUGCUUCUGCACUUUCAUGUUCUUGCGCUGGUUUGCACAUAAUUUGAUAUGGAGCAAGUUUCACUCUUUCAUUUCAUGAAGAAGUUGAUUCACGGUUAUUCUUAUCUUCAAUCGAGUUGCAGGCAUAAUAUACUCUAUGCAUCAGCUUACUAGAUAGGAUUUUUUCAUUCAAAAUGGAAGAAAAACAGUAUUUGGAUAAAGUUCAGUCCUACAUUGCUUGGAAUAUUGUUGAGAUAGAUAGCCUUUAUAAUGUUUCGGCAAUGGACAUUGGGCAAUUCUUCUCCCAUGAGCUAGUUUUCAGGUUGGAGUCACAUCCAUCUAUUAUCGUAAGAUGUUUUAAAAGCCUAUAUUGUGAUGAUACAGUUGAUGGCAUUUGUCUAGUAUUGCAAUUGCAGAAGUCAUAGGCAUGAGGGAGGUGUAUUUUGUCCAACUAAAUUUGUUUAGGAAUGUAUAUUAAUGGCACAGCCUUUAUAAUAAAUUGGACUAUUCUUCUUAGAAAA